rnacentral:rRNA from 1 species
GACGAACGCUGGCGGCGCGCCUAACACAUGCAAGUCGAACGAGAGAGAGGAAGCUUGCUUCCUUAAUCGAGUGGCGAACGGGUGAGUAACGCGUGAGGAACCUGCCUCAAAGAGGGGGACAACAGUUAGAAAUGACUGCUAAUACCGCAUAUGCCUAAGUACCACAUGGUACAAUAGGGAAAGGAGCAAUCCGCUGAUAGAUGGGCUUGCGUCUGAUUAGUUAGUUGGUGGGGUAACGGCCUACCAAGACGACGAUCAGUAGCCGGACUGAGAGGUUGAACGGCCACAUUGGGACUGAGAUACGGCCCAG